rnacentral:tRNA from 1 species
UGUCCAGGGAUGGGAAUCGAACCCACAGUUUUCCGCUUACCAGGCAGAUGCUACUACUACUAGGCUACCCUGUG